UACGUAGGGGGCUAGCGUUGUCCGGAAUCAUUGGGCGUAAAGAGCGUGUAGGCGGUCCGGUAAGUCCGCUGUGAAAGUCGGGGGCUCAACCCUCGAAUGCCGGUGGAUACUGUCGGGCUAGAGUGCGGAAGAGGCGAGUGGAAUUCCUGGUGUAGCGGUGAAAUGCGCAGAUAUCAGGAGGAACACCUAUUGCGAAGGCAGCUCGCUGGGACGUAGCUGACGCUGAGACGCGAAAGCGUGGGGAGCAAACAGG
rnacentral:rRNA from 1 species